GUAAGACUUGACAAAUUAUUGAAAAUACUUAUCUUAAAUGAGAUUGUUAAUGAUUUGAGAUCCCUAUUUUGAGUAAAUGCUCUUUGUCAUCCUCACAACCUUUUGAUAAAAACUUACUUUUUGGAAUAAUUUAUUCCUUAAAUUAUCUUUAUUUAUAGAGUAUUUAGGAAAUUUGGUGGAGAGGUAUAAGAUACAUCCUUAAAAAUAUUUUUGAAUUUUGAUAAUCUUAUAGUUUUUAUUUCUUCUAUUGUAUUUUAUAGUUAAAUGUUUGAAAAAUUUGGACUUUCAAAA
rnacentral:lncRNA from 1 species